CACGGGUGGGGGGUCCCUCAGCCUGGAUUGUGAGAGGGUGCAGGCCAGGCAGAGGGACCCCACUGGUGCAGG
rnacentral:pre_miRNA from 1 species